AUUGAACGCUGGCGGCAGGCCUAACACAUGCAAGUCGAGCGGGGUUUUCGGACCUAGCGGCGGACGGGUGAGUAAUGCGUAGGAAGCUACCCGAUAGAGGGGGAUACCAGUUGGAAACGACUGUUAAUACCGCAUAAUGUCUACGGACCAAAGUGUGGGACCUUCGGGCCACAUGCUAUCGGAUGCGCCUACGUGGGAUUAGCUAGUUGGUGGGGAAUGGCUCACCAAGGCCACGAUCCCUAGGUGGUUUGUGAGGAUGAUUAGCCACACUGGAACUGAGAAACGGUCCAGACUCCUACGGGAGUCGGCAGUGGGGAAUAUUGGACAAUGGGCGCAAGCCUGAUCCAGCCAUGCCGCGUGUGUGAAGAAGGCCUUCGGGUUGUAAAGCACUUUCAGUAGGGAGGAAGGGUGUUGUGUUAAUAGCACAGCAUUUUGACGUUACCUACAGAAGAAGCACCGGCUAACUCUGUGCCAGCCGCCGCAGUAAAAC
rnacentral:rRNA from 1 species